AUGACGAUGCUGCUGGACGGAGGGCCGCAGUUCCCUGCGCUGGGGGUGGGCGGCUUCGCGGCGCCCCGCCACCACGAGAUGCCGGGCCGCGACCCCGCCGCCGCCGCCGCCGGGAUGGGACUGGGCCCCUUCGGGGACUCCUCGCACGCCGCCGCCGCUUUCAAGCUUAACGCGGCCCCGCACGACCUCGCCGCCGGGCAGAGCUCCGCGUUCACCCCCCAGGCUCCCGGCUACGCCAGCGCGCUCGGCCAUCACCACCACCACCAUCACCACCACGCCGGCCAGGUGCCCUCGUACGGCGGGGCCGCCGCCUUCAACUCCACCCGCGACUUUCUGUUCCGCAACCGCGGCUCCGGGAUCGCGGACGCGGGCUCCGGCACGGCUCAACACGGCCUUUUCGGCGGCUCUCCCGGAGGUUUGCACGGUCCCGGAGGCAUCCCGGACAGCCCGGGCUACCUGCUCUUCCCCGGGCUCCACGAGCAGAGCCCGAGCCACACGUCCCCCGGCGGGCACGUGGAUAACGGACAGAUGCACCUGGGGCUGCGCGGGGAUCUAUUCGGGCGGCCGGACCCGUACCGCGCCGUCUCCAGCCCUCGCACGGACCCUUACGGCGGGGCCCAGUUCCACAACUACAACCACAUGAACAUGAAUAUGGGCGUGAACGUGGCCGCUCAUCACCACCACCACCAUCACCACCACGGGCCCGGGGCUUUCUUUCGGUACAUGAGGCAGCCCAUCAAACAAGAGCUGUCCUGCAAGUGGCUCGACGAGAGCCAGCUCAGCCGGCCCAAGAAGAGCUGCGACAGGACUUUCAGCACCAUGCACGAGUUGGUCACCCACGUCACCAUGGAGCACGUCGGGGGGCCGGAGCAGAACAACCACAUCUGCUACUGGGACGAGUGCCCGCGGGAAGGCAAAUCCUUCAAGGCGAAAUACAAACUGGUCAACCACAUUCGGGUGCAUACGGGGGAGAAGCCUUUUCCCUGCCCCUUCCCCGGCUGCGGGAAGAUCUUUGCCCGCUCCGAGAAUCUCAAGAUCCACAAGCGGACGCACACAGGUGAGAAGCCCUUCAAGUGCGAGUUUGAGGGCUGCGACCGGCGCUUCGCCAACAGCAGCGACAGGAAGAAACACAUGCACGUCCACACCUCGGACAAGCCCUACAUCUGCAAGGUGUGCGACAAAUCCUACACCCACCCCAGCUCACUUAGGAAACACAUGAAGGUGCACGAAUCCCAGGGCUCGGACUCUUCCCCUGCAGCCAGUUCGGGCUAUGAGUCCUCCACUCCCCCUGCGGUGGGCUCGGCCGGCAGCAAGGACUCCACGAAAACGCCGCCGGCAGCCCUGCAAGGGAACCCCGGCCACAACCCCGGCCUGCCCCCCAAUUUUAACGAGUGGUAUGUGUGAAGGCAGCGGCUGCCCGGCCAGAGACUGGACCAAACGCCUUGGGAACGAGGCAGAAAGGACAAGCCAAGCCCACUGCAGUUUGCUCCCAUGGAAAUGGAGUUUCUACACCGAUGACCGCAUAGGGCUAGUUAACUGCCAGGAACCGGAGGGGGGGGGGGGGGGUGUCUUUUAUUAUUAUAUUAUAAUUAUUACUAUUUUUUGCAAGCCGAGACGCUGGACUAGCCAUGUCCUUUUCUCAGGAUUGGAUUUCUUUUUUUUUUUUUUGUCUUUUUUUUUUUGUCUUUUUUUUUUUUUUUUCAGUCGCAGUCGUUUCUUUGAUUUAUUAUUUUCCUUCUCCUUGCCCAGUACCUCCGAUUCCCCACUUUUUACUUUUAAUUUUGUUUUGUUUUGUUUUUCUUCUUCUUUCGGUGGGAUGUUGACAUGAGGAUGAAAAUUCUCCUUCGCCUUAGUGGUGAUUGUUUAAACUUACAGUCUUAAACCGUGCCAAAGUCCUGUUAUGUCUUGAACUUUCCUCUCUAGCUCUCCUGCUGCUUCUCUCUCUGCUCUCCUCCUCUUUCUCCUUCUCUCUCUCUCCAAGCAUUACACUUGUGAAUGUAUUCUCAUCUGAUGGGGUCGGUCAGUAUUUUUCAGGAUGAGGAUGUGGUGUUUAUUCUACCCAGAUUGUGACGUUUAGUAUAACAGUUGCCUUUUUGUAAUAACUUUUUUUGUAAAUACAUAUCCAUGAUGCCAUAUUUAUCGUUCGUAAUUUAAUUAUUGAUACAAAGUGCCGGGAACUGAACAAUAUUUAUGGGGGAGAAAAAAUUGUUUUCUAACAAAAAAAAAAAAAAAAAAAAAAAAAAUACAAACAGCAACAACAAAAAAAAAUCAACUCUGUACAGCUUUUGGCUAUAACUGCUUUAGCAUUAAAAGUUUAUUGUUUUGGAAAGAGCCCCCGCGAGCCGUUUUUGACCUCCUUCGUGUCCCCUCCCCCUCCAUUUUCGGGGGCCGCCGUGGCCCGAUUCGGGUCCGCGCCGUUGUUCUGGGGCCGGCGAUGCGGGAGAAGCGUCCUCGUUCUCGCCGCUGCUUUUUCUCCUGCCUUUUUGUCCCCGCCUUCUGCAUCCCUUCCCGAGCCGACGGAGCCCGGAGCGCGGCGGCGCCACCGGAGAGGAGCCCCGGGGGCAGCGGAGCCUCCCGACGGAUUCGACUAAGCGUCUCCAUCCCCAGGAGAGCUGAGGAACUCCAACUCUGCCGAAGAGCCUCAGACAACCGGAGCGACGGUGGAAAAACGUUCCGUGCUCCGCUUCGGGAGACGCCCGGCACCGCACGGGCUACGGCGGGACGAGUCGGCUCCGUGUCCCGCCGGUGCGCGGCCGCCGCUCCUCCCGGUGUUGCAGUCUCAUCGUUCUCGGAGCUCUCUGCGGGUGGAGACCUCCCGGACCGCGCACCUCUGCCGUCCGAGAGCGACCCCCCUUUUUCUCUCCCCCCAGUGGGCCCGUCUUGAACUUGACUCGGAUGCUCCACGGGCUGUCCUGUCUCCUCUUGCAUGAAGCUUGGGAGAUCGGCCCACGGGACACUGCAUGCUUUAAAAAUUAACCUUAAGCGAAUUUCUG